rnacentral:lncRNA from 1 species
ACCCAUUUGCACAUGUUCUUUCAUUUUCUUUUCCUUCCCAGUUGGAUCUGCCUGCCGUCAAGACUCACCACUUCCCACCUGUACACUGCUGUCUGUCCUCAUUUCAAGUGAAUCACCUUGCGGUCUUCUUAUGCCAGCAUCAGAGUCACAUUCUGGAGGAGACCUUGAUCAGAAACAAUCACCUCUACAAAGAACAUCAGCUCAGCUAAGCAGAGCAGCCUCUGUCCAGCAGAGCCAGGUAGGCCGGUCAACCUUUGUCUAGGGUUCAAUUUUAAUUUCACGUCUCCUCUCAGUUGACUUUGCUUCUCAGAUUAAUUUCCUUAUGUUUUAAAUUAAUUUAGAGCUCAAUUAGUUUGAUUUUUAAAGGGCAUGCAGUGGCUCCAAAGAGUCUCUUGGGAUCAAAACAAGUGAAAGCUCAACCUAAUAAAAUUAUGCCAUUUAUAGCAACUGUCCUCACAUGCUCCUUCUCCCCAAAGAAGGAAAUGGAAGAGAUGGGCCUUUAUUAGGAAGGCCAGAAGGCCAGGGCUCUACCAGAAACAAGAGGAAAGGCAUCCCAGAAGGCCGUGUCCCCUCAGUGG